AGAUCACAUGCUGCAAUAUUUAAGCUUGAUGGGAUGAGUUAAGGAUAGGGGCUUAAGAUGGCUUAACUGGCAUUUCUGCUUACAUUUGAAAGACUUGGAUCAGUGUCAUCUGAGGCAUCCUUGUGGUCUAUCCUGACACACGUGAAAAUAUUAGCUAUGCCGAAGGAACUUUGGGAUAAGGUCUAUGCUUUGCAUGUUAGUUUAAUUUAUAUUUUGACUAAGACGCUUGUUUCAUACAAAGGUUUCUAUGGGCAUUGAUUUUUUUUCCCUGUUGACAUUAAAUGAGAAAGCACUUUUUUUUUUCCUGAAAACCAACAGUUUUCUACGCAAAUGGGUUCAGACUUAAUUUUAAUGGAAGUGAAACAUAGUCAAUAGAGGCAAAUUAAAACCAUAUAAUUUUGUAAUCUUAGUUUAGCUAUAAUUGCAGCAAUAAAACAGUGGAAAGAAUAAUUGUGGAACAUAUGUUUGUGAGUGACAUUAUCUAGGUGACUUCCCCUUUACGGCAGUGUGCUGUCCUAUUUGUUUCCCCCUCCCUAUGUAU
rnacentral:lncRNA from 1 species